rnacentral:lncRNA from 1 species
GCUCGGGACCCGACUGCUUUUCCCGCGGCACCGCUCGGUAUGGAGAGCCCGGCCUGCAGCCUGGGCUUUCUGCGGCUCGUCCUGCCCGUUUGCAGGUUGCAGACAAAACCCACGCUCAAGUGGAGGCGUCCUGAGUUUUCACCAGGGCCUGUCGCAGGGCCUCCAGGAAGCCAGUGGCCGGACCUCAGAGUCACACAGUGAUAGACUUGGACCUCCGUGGUUAUCACCAAAAGGAGGUUUCCAACACACUGUCACACUGGAUAUUAUGAAAUACUCCAAAAAUAAGAAGAGAGGUCACUAAAACUGUGUGUCAAAGAGGAAGUAUCCAGCUUCCAGGUGAUGCUGCUGAGUUUCCUCGACUCUCUAGAACAGUGAUUCUCAAACUGAGAUGCUUUGGGCCUCCAGCGGACACUUGGCAACAUUGUGGAGACAUCUCUGAUUGUUACAACUGGGGUGGUGCAACGAAGCGGAGGCCAGCAACACCGCUAAGCAUCCUACCAUGCUCGGGACAGCCCCGCAUGACAAAGCAGUGUCUCGCCUAAAGGCAAUGGGGACAAAUCACAGCAGUCAUCUCAGAAAUCAGAGGGAGGCAUGGCCUGCCACCACCAGGGAUCUGUGAAUGGACUCCACCUGCGGCCCCAGUCCCUCUCAGAGAACGGCCAAGAAGAGGCACUGCAGCCGAGCACCACCCGUUGUUGCUGUCACUCCCCUGGGAACACACCCGCCCUGCUGUUACCACUGCCAAAUGCUCCAGGCACCACCUACAGAUGCAGAUCACUGUCACUUCCCAGGGCCCUGCAACUAGGAGCAGCCUGUGCAACACCUCAUGCAUGGGCUAAGCAGGACAGGAUGCUUCUUGUGUGGGCUGCAGGUGGUGGGGGCCAACCACUGCAGUUAUCUCUGUCUCCAGAGGUAGGCGUGGCCCACCACCACUAGGAGUCCGUGAACAGGCACCAUUUGUGGCUCCAGUCACCACAGAGGGCACCACAGAGGAGGGCAUUGUGACUGAACACCACCCGUUCCUACUCUCACUCCUCCGGGAACUCACACACCAUGUCGCUGCCACUGCCCAAUGCUCUGGGCACUGCCUAAAUCUGCCUGAGGCUCAUUACCAGGUCCUAGGGCCCUGAACUAGGAGUAGCUGGCACCACCUUCUGGAACGUUCUUGCUACUGUGAAGAAGCCAGCAACUACGUACUGACUACUAGCUGUGCCCAUUGCCUCCUUCUCCCUAAACACACUCAGCCCCCUAGGGAUAACAGCCUGUUCACACCUAAGAAAGAGUCAGCAAAUAUCCAAACUCCCACACCAAAAAUAAAGAGUAAUCCCCCCCCAAAAAAAAACAAAGGGGUGCUCUUACAUAGAAUAGCCCUCCAACACUACAGUAGUUGGUUUCCCUAAAGUCACAGAAGAGGAAGAAUAUAAGCAAAAUGAAGACGCUCAGGAACCAUUCCCAGUUAAAAGAACAGGAGAAUUCACCCGAAAGAGCAAACAAUGAAACAGACUAAAGCAGUCUAGCAGAUACUGAGUUCAAAAAUUAGGUGGUGAAAAUACUGAAGUAAUUAAGAGUGAAUAUGAAGGAAUUAAGAGCAGAUAUGAACAGUAGUGCAGAUUAUUUUAGAAAAGAACUACAAAAUAUUGGAAAGAGCCAAGAAAAAUUAUAAAAUGCAUUUUCAGAGACAUGAGCUGAGUUAAAGGCAUUAAAGAGCAGAAUGAAUAAUGCAGAGGAAUGAAUUAGUGACUUGGAAGAUAGAAUAAUGGAAAUCACCCAAUCAGGACAGCAGGCAGAAAACUAAGUGAAAAAACAUGAAAGCAAUAUGAGGUCUAUGGGAUAAUAUAAAGUGGGCCAAUCUAUACAUAAUAGGGAUUCCAGAAGGAGAAGAAAAAGAAAAGGGGAUUGAAAAUAUAUUUGAAGAAAUUAUGUCUGAAAACGUUCCAAAUCUAAAGGAAACAGCUAUAAAGGUACAGGAAGUACAGAGGGCCCCAAACAAGGUGAAGCCAAACAGGCCCACACCAAGGCAUAUUAUAAUGAAAAUGGCAAAAGUUAAAGAUAGAGAGGAUUCUAAAGGUAGCAAGAGAAAAACAAAGCAUUAAUUAUAAAGGAACCCCCGUAAGACUAUCUGCUGAUUUCUCUACAGAAAUACUACAGACCAGAAGAGAGUAGCAAGAUACAUUCAUAGUUCUAAAAGGGAAAAAUUCGGACUUCCCAUUUGGCUGACAACAUAAAACGGAAAAAUUUGCAGCCUGGAAUACUCUACCCAGCAAGAAUACUAUUUAACAUAGAAGGAGAAAUAAAGAUUUUCUCCAACAAACGAAAACUAAAAGAGCACAGCAAUACUAAACCCAUUCUAAAGGAAAUGCUGAAAGGGCUUCUCUAAAUAAGAAGUAAGAAGAAACAGGAUGGAGGAAAUCACAAUUGGAAAGCAAUCACUUAAAUAAGCCAGUAUACAGAUCUAAAAGGAAAAAAGAAAAA